AUGCCCGCCCCGCUCAUCCCCCUCGCGGCGGCCACGGCCGCCGCCACCUCGGCCGUCGGCGUAGCGCUGGGGGUGCGCCUGCUCCUCCUCCUCUCCCGCUCGCGCGCGCUCAAGCCGCUCGCCGCCACCACCUCCGCCGCCGCGGCCGCGCUCCGGGCGCCGCGGCUCCUCGCCGCCGCCUCCUCCCCGCUCGCCGCCCUCCUCGCCGCCUCCAAGGCCGCCUCCAAGUCCUACAAGGCGGCGCGCGCGCUCGACCCGGCCGCGCGCCUCCCCUCGCUGCCCUCCUCCAAGCGCGUCAAGGCCGCCUUCGCCGCCGCCUCCCUCCUCCGCCUCGCCCCGACCCUCCUCCUCCUCCCAACCGCCGCCUCCUCGCCCUCCUCCCCCACCGCCCUCUUCGCGCUCGCGCUGCUCAAGUCGGGGUACAAGCUCUCCAAGAACUCCGCCAAGGUCGUCGAGGGCUUCCUCGGCCUCCAGGUCCACAAGGGCUUCCGCAACGGCGUCGACGCGCUCGGGGUCGUUGUCAAGGUCGCCGUCAUCGCCUCCGAGGUCGCCGUCUGGGUCGGCGGCCGCUUCUGGGGCGCCGACGACGAUGGGCGCGGCCGCUGCGUGCGCUUCCUCGGCUUCACCAGGCCCGGCAGCCUUGUCCUAGCCGGGUCUGCAAAAUCUGAAGCCCAGGUUGUGCUCUUCGACCCUGGAACUGCCGUCGAGAUGGAGGACGAGGGGUGCUGGUUGGAGGAGGACCCAGACCCCUCCCUGUUGCUCUGCCUCGCGGUGCCCCUGCCUGCCUGA
rnacentral:rRNA from 1 species